rnacentral:tRNA from 1 species
UGUGGCAGAAUAGUGCGGUGGACUUAAACCCCAUAAAUAAAGUGCUACUUUCUUUAGAA